AUUGAACGCUGGCGGCAGGCCUAACACAUGCAAGUCGAGCGGAUGAAGGGAGCUUUCUCCUGUAUUCAGCGGCGGACGGGUGAGUAAUUCCUAGGAAUCUGCCUGGUAGAGGGGGCUAACGUCCGGAAACGGGCGCUAAUACAGCAUACGUCCUGAUGGAGAAAGUGGGGGAUCUUCGGACCUCACGCUAUCUGAUGAGCCUAGGUCGGAUUAGCUAGUUGGUGGGGUAAAGGCCUACCAAGGCGACGAUCCGUAACUGGUCUGAGAGGAUGAUCAGUCACACUGGAACUGAGACACGGUCCAGACUCCUACGGGAGGCAGCAGUAGGGAAUAUCGGACAAUGGGCGAAAGCCUGAUCCAGCCACGCCGCGUGUGUGAAGAAGGUCUUCGGAUUGUAAAGCACUGUAAGUUGGGAGGAACGGAAGUAAGUGAAUACCUGGCUGUUUUGACGUUACCAACAGAAUAAGCACCGGCUAACUUCGUG
rnacentral:rRNA from 1 species